GCUGAGGCCAGUCCUCUGUGAACUGACCAACUUCUCCCAGUGUAGUUAGUGUACCCACAGCACCAGCCUGCACAAAGGUGCUGCCGGGGACAGUAGGGAGGCUCGCCCACUUUAGAAGCACAUCUGCCGAGCAGAUGGAGGAGGGAUCCUUCGAGCCAUAUGAGCUAUACAACCCUGGGUAAGACAUGGUGGUUUAGGUCAUUCUGCAGCCUGCGUAAAGAGUGUUCAACUGACUGCCAGCAGAAAGCCAGGAUUAAGGAAACUGUCUGAUUAGACUUGAAACCAGAUUCUAAGACACAAAUAAGAUGAAGAAAUUAAAAAAAGAAAGGAAGGAAGGAAAGAAGGAAGAAAGAAAGACAGACAGACCAAAAGAGAGUUGCAGCUUGGUGUGGGCCCUCGGGACCUCUCUGCUCAGCACCUUUGGGAGCCCUUGAGGCAGAGGUGUUGGGAGUCCCCUCUGCUGACCACAUCAAAGCUCACUGCAGAUGGGCCUCCAGAUAUGACUGUUGGGUCAUUGUGACUGCGUGGUUGAGGUGUGAAGACCCAUCCCUGGAGGGCGGCACUGUCCCCUGACUGGGAUCCUGGGCUAAGUGGAGAGAUGGAACUCAACAGCAGCAGGCAUUCACUCACUCUUGCUUCCUGGUUGUGAAUGUCUCGUGAUCGGCGGCUACAGGCUCCUGCUGCCUUGGUGAUGUCCUGAACCCUUCACCUUCCAGUCAUAAUAAAGACUAUAUCCAGUU